CCGUCUGAACAGCAUUAUGGGCCCCCGGGCAAGGCAGUGUACUGGGGCCCCUCCCACAACUACUCACAGGAAUUAUUACUGGAUGGAAGUCAGUGUAAAUUGUGAUGCUCCA